rnacentral:rRNA from 1 species
UGGGGAAUUUUGGACAAUGGGGGCAACCCUGAUCCAGCCAUCCCGCGUGUGCGAUGAAGGCCUUCGGGUUGUAAAGCACUUUUGGCAGGGAAGAAACAGCCUGGGAUAAUACCCCAGGCGACUGACGGUACCUGCAGAAUAAGCACCGGCUAACUACGUGCCAGCAGCCGCGGUAAUACGUAGGGUGCAAGCGUUAAUCGGAAUUACUGGGCGUAAAGCGUGCGCAGGCGGUUCGGAAAGAAAGGUGUGAAAUCCCAGGGCUUAACCUUGGAACUGCACUUUUAACUACCGAGCUAGAGUACGUCAGAGGGGGGUAGAAUUCCACGUGUAGCAGUGAAGUGCGUAGAGAUGUGGAGGAAUACCGAUGGCGAAGGCAGCCCCAUGGGAUGAUACUGACGCUCAUGCACGAAAGCGUGGGGAGCAAACAGGAUUAGAUACCCUGGUAGUCCACGCCCUAAACGAUGUCAACUAGCUGUUGGGGUUUAUUAACCUUAGUAGCGCAGCUAACGCGUGAAGUUGACCGCCUGGGGAGUACGGUCGCAAGAUUAAAACUCAAAGGGAAUUGACGGGGGUCAUAGCUGUUUCC